rnacentral:sRNA from 1 species
AGCCUAAACCAGUGAUUGCUGGCAUGGUGAAAAGAGCCCCGCAAAGACAUAAAAAACCCAUCAUAUAGGGUCGUCUUUGCGGGCCAUAUCAGGAAACUGGUAUGAGAGACUUCGGUCUCU